CCUGGGAGUGAGAGUUGUGGCAGGUGGGAGUUGCCUGAGUACAGGGGAGAGAGAGAGAGAGAGAGAGAGAGAGAGAAAGAGAAAGAAAAAGAAAAAGAAAAAGAAGGUGCUGCAGAGAGUUGCCUGAGGGAAACCUGCAGAGGGUCAGAAACUGUUGAGGAGUGGUGAGACAUGCUAGAGGAAUACUUGGGAGUACAGGAAGGCGAAAUUGUCAGCUGAAACCUUAACAAAGUGUUAAAUUCUCAGUAACAUCUUGAAAACACUAGAUGGCACAGGAGAGGAUCCCAAUAGAGAGACAUUGCUACAACCACUACUGGAUGUGACAUGAAUCCCUUGCAGAUCAACGUAAAAGUUGUCCUGAAACAUUAUAUGACAACCCUGAUGUACAAGAGCUAAUGUUUUUGUUUCAACUGCAAGAGGAAUCAAAUGUUACCAGAUUUCCUAUUAUGCUGUUGCCAUUCUACACACCAGACAGGCGCAAGUCUCUUCCCUGUCCUUGUCUCCUGCCAGCUGCUUUGUUUCUGUAGAGUUGGCUGCUGCCUUUAACUGCUUCCACUUUUGUCUUCAGCCUUCCUGACUCCUUUUUUUUCAGUCCAUGGUCACCAUGCCAAGGGUUGGCACGGAAGUCGUCAUUCUGCUUCAUAUGUGCUGCAAAAGAUGAAAGUGACAGAGUAGGUCUGAUCAGUUAAGCAUCUCACCUUGUUAAAGUGCUCUUUUAUCCUUUUUGGGGACUUCCUCCAUGGUAAUUGAGCAGAAAGUUAUUUUUUUCUUUGUUCUGGCAUUGGAACCACAAAUAUCCAGUUUCCUUUUUUUAUUAUUUGAAAUUUUGUCUCCCAAUUAUGAAAAUAGAGCAAACUGUCUUUGUGUUCAGAUUUUCUGCUUGCGCUAACUAUUGAAAGAUAAGGUUUCAGCUCAGAGCAUGUACAGUUAUUUCCUCUGUUCCUGCUAAUGUAAAGAGUUUGAAUCUGCAAACCUGUAGUACCUACUUACGGCUGGUAGCACAUGCAUUUAAUUCCUGCUUGAUGUUGGAAUUGGGUGAACAAUGUGUGGGUUCUGCUUUUAGUUUAGUGAACUUGCACAUGACCUGUCUUGCACUCCUGAGACAGAGGAACUCUGGGCUGAUGCCAUAAUAUAACGGUGAUUACACUGCAGUGAUACCUCCUGUU